CCAGCAGCCGCGGUAAUUCCAGCUCCAAUAGCGUAUAUUAAAGUUGUUGCAGUUAAAAAGCUCGUAGUUGGAUUUGUGGUUGCCUCUUGCGGCCUGGUACCUAGUGCUAGUGUUUGCAGGCGGCUCCAUCCUUGGGUGGAACCUGUGUGGCAUUAGGUUGUCGUGCAGGGGAUGCCCAUCAUUUACUGUGAAAAAAUUAGAGUGUUCAAAGCAGGCUUAUGCCGUUGAAUAUGUUAGCAUGGAAUAAUAAGAUAGGACCUUGGUACUAUUUUGUUGGUUUGCGCACCAAGGUAAUGAUUAAAAGGGACAGUUGUGGGUAUUCGUAUUCCAUUGUCAGAGGUGAAAUUCUUGGAUUUUUGGAAGACGGACUACUGCGAAAGCAUUUACCAAGGAUGUUUUCAUUAAUCAAGAACGAAAGU
rnacentral:rRNA from 1 species